GAUGAACGCUAGCGGCAGGCUUAACACACGCAAGUCGAGGGGUAUGGUUCUUCGGAACCAGAGACCGGCGCACGGGUGCGUAACGCGUAUGCAAUCUACCUUUUACAGAGGGAUAGCCCAGAGAAAUUUGGAUUAAUACCUCAUAGUAUAACAUGACCGCAUGGUCGAGUUAUUAAAGUCACGACGGUAAAAGAUGAGCA
rnacentral:rRNA from 1 species